rnacentral:rRNA from 1 species
GACGAACGCUGGCGGCGUGCUUAACACAUGCAAGUCGAACGGAAAGGCCCUGCUUUUGUGGGGUGCUCGAGUGGCGAACGGGUGAGUAACACGUGAGUAACCUGCCCUUGACUUUGGGAUAACUUCAGGAAACUGGGGCUAAUACCGGAUAGGAGCUCCUGCUGCAUGGUGGGGGUUGGAAAGUUUCGGCGGUUGGGGAUGGACUCGCGGCUUAUCAGCUUGUUGGUGGGGUAGUGGCUUACCAAGGCUUUGACGGGUAGCCGGCCUGAGAGGGUGACCGGCCACAUUGGGACUGAGGUACGGCCCAGACUCCUACGGGAGGCAGCAGUGGGAAAUAGUGCACAAUGGGCGGAAGCCUGAUGCAGCAACGCCGCGUGCGGGAUGACGGCCUUCGGGUUGUAAACCGCUUUCGCCUGUGACGAAGCGUGAGUGGCGGUAAUGGGUAAAGAAGCACCGGCUAACUACGUG